GGGGGCGUAGCUCAGUUGGGUAGAGCGUUCGCUUUGCAUGUGAAAGGUCCCGGGGUUCAAGCCCCGGCCGCCUCCA